GUCCUAGGUUACAGUAGGAUCUGGCUGGAACACAGACAUGGCACUUGACACUGCUAAUCCCAAACAAUCUCUUAGGAAUUGUCUGAGUUCGGAGUUUCCUUCCCAUUUUGAAAUCACCAUCCUGUCAGAGCUGGUCUUGUGCGGUAUUGCAUGGGUAAUCAGAGCUGCUGUGGGCUUCACAUCUUAAUGCUUUCAAUAUAUUUCACCAGUGACACAGAUUUUUAGGAUCCAAAAGUCCACACAUAAAAAACCCAGCCUCACCUGUUCUGCUAGUGUCCUACAAAAUGUCACUUCCCAGCACCAUACCUGACUGCCUACCUCUAUGCUUCCUACCAUGAUGUUCACCAACAAAGCUUCUGAAACUAAUAAAGUUUCAUUCCUUUGCAUGUGAGCAUCCAGUUUCCCAGUAUUAUUGUUAAGAAAACUCAUCUUGGCCACUGUGCAUUCCUGGCAUCACUACUGAAGAUCAGAUCACCUCAUUUGCAUGUAGUUACUUCUGAGCCACAUAACUUCUAUGGAAGACUGCUUGCUGCUAAUAAACCCUAUAAACUGUUUAUCACAA